CCUACGGGUGGCAGCAGUGGGGAAUAUUGGACAAUGGGCGAAAGCCUGAUCCAGCCAUGCCGCGUGUGUGAAGAAGGCCUUCGGGUUGUAAAGCACUUUCAGUGGGGAAGAAAGCCUGGGGGCUAAUACCCUCGAGGAAGGACAUCACCCACAGAAGAAGCACCGGCUAACUCCGUGCCAGCAGCCGCGGUAAUACGGAGGGUGCGAGCGUUAAUCGGAAUUACUGGGCGUAAAGCGCGCGUAGGCGGUCUGAUAAGCCGGUUGUGAAAGCCCCGGGCUCAACCUGGGAACGGCAUCCGGAACUGUCAGGCUAGAGUGCAGGAGAGGAAGGUAGAAUUCCCGGUGUAGCGGUGAAAUGCGUAGAGAUCGGGAGGAAUACCAGUGGCGAAGGCGGCCUUCUGGACUGACACUGACGCUGAGGUGCGAAAGCGUGGGUAGCGAACAGGAUUAGAUACCCUGGUAGUC
rnacentral:rRNA from 1 species